GAUGAACGCUGGCGGCGUGCCUAAUACAUGCAAGUCGAGCGAACAGACGAGGAGCUUGCUCCUCUGACGUUAGCGGCGGACGGGUGAGUAACACGUGGAUAACCUACCUAUAAGACUGGGAUAACUUCGGGAAACCGGAGCUAAUACCGGAUAAUAUAUUGAACCGCAUGGUUCAAUAGUGAAAGACGGUUUUGCUGUCACUUAUAGAUGGAUCCGCGCCGCAUUAGCUAGUUGGUAAGGUAACGGCUUACCAAGGCGACGAUGCGUAGCCGACCUGAGAGGACGAGAAGCGACAGGGGGACGGAGACACGGCACAGAAUACGACGGGAGGGCGAAGUGGGGAAGGUUGGACAAGGGGCGAAAGCCUGAACCAGCAAUGACGAGUGUGUGAAGAAGGCCUUCGGAUUGUAAAGCACUUUUGUAGGGAAAGAAAGCAUGGGCCCUAAUACGGGCGGGGGAUGACGGGAAAGGAAGAAUAAGAACCGGCUAACUACGUG
rnacentral:rRNA from 1 species